AAAACCCAAAAAUGAAUUAAAACUGUAGUCGAUUAACCUUAUUCGACUAUCAAAACACAGUUGAUUAACCUUAAUCGACUACCAAAACGUAGUCGAUUAACCUCCGCGGGCUUUCUCUGCCUGCGCCGCCUUCCGUCCAAUCUACCCAAAAAACCCUAGAUCUGCUCCCCAUCGUCACCACACAGUCGCCACACCACACUAUCACCAUCCCCGCCCCUACAACCCAUCACAACCACCGGCCAUGUACAAAUACACCACCUUACACGGUACACACAAAUAUACAAACCUACCACCGCCAUAAACAACUUCACAAAUAUAACCACUGCCACCAGCAUCUUCCUCGAAACAAGCAACGUCGAAGAGGAUUGUGAGCGGGGUGGACAAGGAGACAUCUCAAUAGAGGGAGUGGGAGUGGCAAAUUCACAGGGGGAAGAGGCCCGUUAUUCCAUCGACGCCUCGUCGGUUCUUCAUUUCAGAUCGAUGCCUAUAUGGAUUUGGGUGGGAAAAGAGAGGAGAGAAAAAAAAAAUAGAGAAUAAAAAUUCGUAUGAGGUUCGAAUUUAGCCGGUUUUAAUUUUAUUAACAUUCUUCGAUUAGAUUCAUUUUAAUCGAAAUAAAUUUAACUAAUAACUUCCAUUUUUCUUGAGCAGAUUCGUUUCUAUCUUCGGCGCGCGAACGAGUCCUUCC
rnacentral:lncRNA from 1 species